rnacentral:rRNA from 1 species
GAUGAACGCUAGCGGCAGGCUUAACACAUGCAAGUCGAGGGGCAACACGGGUAGCAAUACCUGGUGGCGACCGGCGCAAGGGUGCGUAACGCGUGAGCAACAUGCCCUAUACAGGGGGAUAAUCCAGGGAAACUUGGUCUAAUAUCCCAUAGUAUUUAGAGGUGGCAUCACCACUAAAUUAAAGCUUCGGUGGUAUAGGAUUGGCUCGCGUGACAUUAGCUGGAUGGUGGGGUAACGGCUCACCAUGGCGAUGAUGUCUAGGGGUUCUGAGAGGAAGACCCCCCACACUGGGACUGAGACACGGCCCAGACUCCUACGGGAGGCAGCAGUGGGGAAUUUUGGACAAUGGGGGAAACCCUGAUCCAGCCAUGCCGCGUGCAGGAUGAAGGCCUUCGGGUUGUAAACUGCUUUUGUACGGAACGAAAAGGUCUUUUCUAAUAAAGAAGACUCAUGACGGUACCGUAAGAAUAAGCACCGGCUAACUACGUG